GCCGGCGGCAGGCCUAACACAUGCAAGUCGAGCGGAAACGAGUUAUCUGAACCUUCGGGGAACGAUAACGGCGUCGAGCGGCGGACGGGUGAGUAAUGCCUAGGAAAUUGCCCUGNUGUGGGGGAUAACCAUUGGAAACGAUGGCUAAUACCGCAUAAUACCUACGGGUCAAAGAGGGGGACCUUCGGGCCUCUCGCGUCAGGAUAUGCCUAGGUGGGAUUAGCUAGUUGGUGAGGUAAUGGCUCACCAAGGCGACGAUCCCUAGCUGGUCUGAGAGGAUGAUCAGCCACACUGGAACUGAGAACACGGUCCAGACUCCUACGGGAGGCAGCAGUGGGGAAUAUUGCACAAUGGGCGCAAGCCUGAUGCAGCCAUGCCGCGUGUGUGAAGAAGGCCUUCGGGUUGUAAAGCACUUUCAGUGAGGAGGAAAACCUUAUGGUUAAUACCCAUGAGGCUUGACGUUACUCACAGAAGAAGCACCGGCUAACUCCGUGCCAGCAGCCGCGGUAAUACGGAGGGUGCAAGCGUUAAUCGGAAUUACUGGGCGUAAAGCGCGCGUAGGUGGUUUGAUAAGCGAGAUGUGAAAGCCCCGGGCUUAACCUGGGAACGGCAUUUCGAACUGUCAGGCUAGAGUAUGGUAGAGGGUAGUGGAAUUUCCUGUGUAGCGGUGAAAUGCGUAGAUAUAGGAAGGAACACCAGGGCGAAGGCGGCUACCUGGACCAAUACUACACUGAGGUCGAAAGCGUGGGACAACA
rnacentral:rRNA from 1 species